CUAACAAUGGGAGGUUUAAAUCCGCCAUUUGAAAAUGUGGGAAAAAUGAGCAAUAAGGGGGUUGAAAUAAAUAUAAAUUGGAAUGAUAGAAUUCAACAAUCAAAACUAUCUUACAAUUUAGGGGCUAAUUUAACGUAUGUAAAAAAUAGAGUUGAUAAAUUUAGAGGAGGGAAAUCACCUGAUCAGCUAUAUUUAAUACGAGAAGGGUAUUCGUAUAAGACCCUAUAUGGUUAUAUUCAAGAAGGUGUUUAUCAAACUGAUGAAGAAGCAGCUAAACAUAUGAAAAAUAAUGGAUAUAUUCCAGUAGCUGGAGAUUUAAGAUAUAAGGAUUUUAGUAAUGAUGGAAAAUUAGAUUAUCAUGAUAAAAGAGAAAUUGGUAAUACUAUUCCAAAAUUUGUUUAUGGGAUUAAUGGGAGUGUUACUUGGAGGAAUUUCGAUUUAAGUUUUCUUUUUUCAGGAAUUGGCGGGGGAGCAAGGUUGAAACUUAAAGGAAUUGGCGGGGGAGCAAGGUUGAAACUUAAAGGAAUUGGCGGGGGAGCACGGGAGCAAGGAAUUGGCGGGGGAGCAAGGCUGAAACUUAAAGGAAUUGGCGGGGGAGCACGGGAGCAAGGAAUUGGCGGGGGAGCAAGGGAGCAAGGAAUUGGCGGGGGAGCAAGGCUGAAACUUAAAGGAAUUGGCGGGGGAGCACGGGAGCA
rnacentral:rRNA from 1 species